rnacentral:rRNA from 1 species
GACGAACGCUGGCGGCGUGCCUAAUACAUGCAAGUCGAACGAACGGAUAAAGAGCUUGCUCUUUUGAAGUUAGUGGCGGACGGGUGAGUAACACGUGGGUAACCUGCCUCACAGCUGGGGAUAACAUCGAGAAAUCGAUGCUAAUACCGAAUGUGCUGAACAUCAUAAGAUGUUCAAGUGAAAGACGGUUUCGGCUGUCACUGUGAGAUGGACCCGCGCUGGAUUAGCUAGUUGGUAAGGUAAUGGCUUACCAAGGCGACGAUCCAUAGCCGACCUGAGAGGGUGAUCGGCCACAUUGGGACUGAGACACGGCCAAAACUCCUACGGGAGGCAGCAGUAGGGAAUCUUCGGCAAUGGACGAAAGUCUGACCGAGCAACGCCGCGUGAGCGAAGAAGGCCUUCGGGUCGUAAAGCUCUGUUGUUAGAGAAGAACAUGGGUGAGAGUAACUGUUCACCCCUUGACGGUAUCUAACCAGAAAGCCACGGCUAACUACGUG